GCUCUUACUUUCUUGUUAUAUUAUGCUAAAUCAUAUUCCAUCAGUAAUGUUUUAGAAAAAAAUUGCUACUGUUUGAAAGUUAAUUAAAUGAAGUUCUAUUGUAUGCAAAGGCAGGAACUUCCAGACAAUGUGAUUAUGUUUCCUGACCAGUUCUCUGCUUUCCUCUAAGAGGUGAUUAAAGAGUAUCUUGGGAUGAAGAAAGUGGGUAAGGCUUAGAACUUACAGUUGGGAUAAAGGCAGGGGAGGAACUGGAGACCAUCGUCUACAUUGUCAUCCAAGUUUAGAUGGGUCCGUUUCCAACCGUAUUCACAUUCACACCUGUAGCCGAAUGGCCCAUUGUUGGAAGCAUAGCAGGUUCCGUUUCCACAGUUAACAAGGUCGCACACAUUACUUGUAUCUACAAAGUAAAUUGAAGCAUAAUAUGCACUUACUAUUCCAGCUGAGAAGAUUUAAGGAUUUAGAAAAGGAAUUAUCAGUUACUUCAAGACGAGCAGCUGAGAAGAUUAAAAAUUGUACAGAGACACAUACAAGGAGGGGGCUCAUCACUGAUGGAGUACUCAUUGGCCAUAAAAUUUAAAUGAAGAAAUAGGGGUAAUGAAUAGAAGAGCAGCAGAAGUACCUGAAUCGGUGACGCUUAUGGAUGUACGAGGUUGCAGGAGAGAGAUGGCAAGGAGGGUGAUGCCAAUAAGACUCCUAGUACUACUACUACUAGUGAAGGAACCCAUCUCAGAUUCUUAGCAGCGACAAAGAAGACAAGGAGGACACAUCAGUCGGGAUACUUAUAAACAGUUAAAAAUUGUCUGAAGGAUUAGGUGAGAAAGGGAUUCUCAUAAACAGUUAAAAAAGUGUCUGAAGGAUUGGGUGAGGCUUCAA